rnacentral:rRNA from 1 species
AGCGAACGCUGGCGGCAGGCCUAACACAUGCAAGUCGAACGAACCUUUCGGGGUUAUUGGCGGACGGGUGAGUAACACGUGGGAAGGUGCCCUUAGGUACGGAAUAACUCAGGGAAACUUGUGCUAAUACCGAAUGUGCCCUUCGGGGGAAAGAUUUAUCGCCUCUAGAGCGGCCCGCGUCAGAUUAGCUAGUUGGUUGAGGUAAUGGCUCACCAAGGCGACGAUCAGUAGUUGGUCUGAGAGGAUGAUCAGACACAUAGGGACUGAGACACGGCCCAAACUCCUACGGGAAGGAGCAGUGGGUAAUCUUGCGCAAUGGGCGAAAGCCUGACGCAGCCAUGCCGCGUAAAUGAUGAAGGUCUUAGGAUUGUAAAAUUCUUUCACCGGGGACGAUAAUGACGGUACCCGGUGAAGAAGCCCCGGCUAACUUCGUG